GGGAGAAGGAGACAGAGAAGGAAGGCAUGCAUGGAAGUGAACAGAGAGCAUGUUCUGUAUAUUCCCUGCAUGCACAUAACUUCCUUUUCUUUUAAUGUAUAAAUAAGAUUAUAUAUUACAUAACAUAUUUAACAUCUUACAAAAAAAAAACUAAAAA
rnacentral:sRNA from 1 species